AGAGUUUGAUCCUGGCUCAGGAUGAACGCUGGCGGCGUGCCUAAUACAUGCAAGUCGAGCGAACAGACAAGGAGCUUGCUCCUUUGACGUUAGCGGCGGACGGGUGAGUAACACGUGGGUAACCUACCUAUAAGACUGGGAUAACUUCGGGAAACCGGAGCUAAUACCGGAUAAUAUUUCGAACCGCAUGGUUCGAUAGUGAAAGAUGGUUUUGCUAUCACUUAUAGAUGGACCCGCGCCGUAUUAGCUAGUUGGUAAGGUAACGGCUUACCAAGGCGACGAUACGUAGCCGACCUGAGAGGGUGAUCGGCCACACUGGAACUGAGACACGGUCCAGACUCCUACGGGAGGCAGCAGUAGGGAAUCUUCCGCAAUGGGCGAAAGCCUGACGGAGCAACGCCGCGUGAGUGAUGAAGGUCUUCGGAUCGUAAAACUCUGUUAUUAGGGAAGAACAUACGUGUAAGUAACUAUGCACGUCUUGACGGUACCUAAUCAGAAAGCCACGGCUAACUACGUGCCAGCAGCCGCGGUAAUACGUAGGUGGCAAGCGUUAUCCGGAAUUAUUGGGCGUAAAGCGCGCGUAGGCGGUUUUUUAAGUCUGAUGUGAAAGCCCACGGCUCAACCGUGGAGGGUCAUUGGAAACUGGAAAACUUGAGUGCAGAAGAGGAAAGUGGAAUUCCAUGUGUAGCGGUGAAAUGCGCAGAGAUAUGGAGGAACACCAGUGGCGAAGGCGACUUUCUGGUCUGUAACUGACGCUGAUGUGCGAAAGCGUGGGGAUCAAACAGGAUUAGAUACCCUGGUAGUCCACGCCGUAAACGAUGAGUGCUAAGUGUUAGGGGGUUUCCGCCCCUUAGUGCUGCAGCUAACGCAUUAAGCACUCCGCCUGGGGAGUACGACCGCAAGGUUGAAACUCAAAGGAAUUGACGGGGACCCGCACAAGCGGUGGAGCAUGUGGUUUAAUUCGAAGCAACGCGAAGAACCUUACCAAAUCUUGACAUCCUUUGACAACUCUAGAGAUAGAGCCUUCCCCUUCGGGGGACAAAGUGACAGGUGGUGCAUGGUUGUCGUCAGCUCGUGUCGUGAGAUGUUGGGUUAAGUCCCGCAACGAGCGCAACCCUUAAGCUUAGUUGCCAUCAUUAAGUUGGGCACUCUAAGUUGACUGCCGGUGACAAACCGGAGGAAGGUGGGGAUGACGUCAAAUCAUCAUGCCCCUUAUGAUUUGGGCUACACACGUGCUACAAUGGACAAUACAAAGGGCAGCGAAACCGCGAGGUCAAGCAAAUCCCAUAAAGUUGUUCUCAGUUCGGAUUGUAGUCUGCAACUCGACUACAUGAAGCUGGAAUCGCUAGUAAUCGUAGAUCAGCAUGCUACGGUGAAUACGUUCCCGGGUCUUGUACACACCGCCCGUCACACCACGAGAGUUUGUAACACCCGAAGCCGGUGGAGUAACCAUUUGGAGCUAGCCGUCGAAGGUGGGACAAAUGAUUGGGGUGAAGUCGUAACAAGGUAGCCGUAUCGGAAGGUGCGGCUG
rnacentral:rRNA from 6 species